GUUGGAAGUAUUUGUGUGUGCUUUUCUCUGCACUGCAUGAAUAGCUGUACCUUGUAUCAACACCGUAUUUACAGUCUAUGGAACCACAUUGCACAUACAUGCACUUACACGUAUUAUAUUAGACUCUGUAUCAGGACUCGCUAUAACUACUAACCCUUGUAUUAAUAGAAAUGAUCUUCAGUGACAUUCAGAACUCAAAAAAAGAAAUGUUGAAAUCUAAAACCGGAUCACUAUAUCUGUGUGUUUCUUUGCUCACUCCGUUCUUCCGCACAGACGUCUCCGUUGAAGUCUACACUGAAAUUCCGUCUUCAAUAAAAGAAGAACAGAGGUUUCUUUGCUUUAUGAUCUAGUUUUCUCACAAUCCUUUUCCUGCUCUCGUUUCACUUCAUCACACUGACAGUUACUUGCAACAUUUCCAUUUAAGGAGUAAACUUCUCAUCCAUUAGUUGUGUGUGUGUGAGUGUGAAUGUCUGUGUUUGCAUGUAUAUGCUCCAAGUGCGUUAGUGUAGCUGCGUGUGCCAUAACAGCUGUGCAUGAGGUGGACGUAUUUUCUUAAAAUCAUCUCUACUGUUCCUCUGUUACUAUGGUAACUGUUUCCAGAUUAAGGAUGGUCCUUUGUCCUCCUUUGUCACCAUUACCCCCUUACGCUUCAUAAUCUCAACCCCUCGGCCUCUGCAAGUGUUACGCAGCAUCUUGGCAGCAAUCACUCUGACUGGUUGAGGGUGUGCGUGUGCGUGAAUGUAUUUGUAAGUUUUAGGAAGGGGCGGCAUCGGCAUUUUGACAUCGAGCUGCACCCACUCGCACACGUAACUAAAGUUACGCGCACACACGCGCACAAACAAGCACUCUGAGAAACUUCUGCUUGAGGUGAUGUAGUGUCUUGUAGUUUCCAUGGUAACAUCAAGGGAGCGAAUCAAGGAGGAGGGCCAACAUAACAAAAGGGAACACUGCCCCCCCACGACUAGUGAGAGGAGGGACAGAGAGAGAGAGAGAGAGAGAGAGAGAGAGAGAGAAAGAGAGAGAGAGAGAGAGAGAGAGAGAAAGAGAGAGAGAGAGAGAGAGGGAAAAGCAGGCCUGGAGAACAGAGGUAGAGCAAAGAUGUGUCAGAAGAAUCCUGAAGUCAGUAAAUUAAAUAAUGACGAUCCAGCAUGUGUAUAUCUAUAUAACAUAAUGUGACCUUGAGUUCUGAGCCAGCAUUGUCUCGGCGCUGAUUCUCAGCACCCAGAUUGAUCACUACGACUCAAAACCUGCAGGAACAACUGUUGCAUGGUGGGAAAAUCUCUGGCACCAGUUCCCUAAAGGUCUGUCUUUCCUGUCUAGCUUCAUUCCAGCGUAGCCACAGGAAAGACACCAGUUAAAAAUAUCUACACAGCUACAGUAUUUCUAGCCUUAUACAAAAUAUACUAAAUAUUUGCAAUGUUCCCGCUUUGCUAAAAGCGUUUUCGAAAAAGUGAAAAACAGCAAACCUGCAAUCUUGUAGCUAAAUGUUUUGGUAUGUCAUCGAAUCUAAGCCAAAUUAACAAAUGUUUAGCAAAUUAAACAUUCAAAGAUUCUGAAAUGACAAGUUUAGUAAUAUCAACAGCUUUGUAAAGUGUAAAAAUGCUUAUUUUGGGGUUUCAAAGAAAGGAAAGAGAAAGUGACGCUUUAGUAACACCUCUAUUACGAGCAUGGAGGGAGGUGUGAAAACUAAAUGAUGUUGUUGGUGCGACAGCAUAUGCUGUGUUUAAGUUCAGACACUGAUAGGAGAGAAGCUUAACACCAACAACACUCCUUUGCUCUCUUUUUCCCAAUCCUCUACUGAUUCAAUCCAACAUCAAAGGACUCUAUUGUCGGAGGAAAGUUACAGAGUACCGAGGACUUUUCUUGUGUUUGAUAUUUGGUACCACUGGUUGACCUCUUGACCCAAUGGAUGACUCCCCCUCACUCGCUUUUCUGUGCGUUCAAAUUUGUGUCAGUCAGGAGAAACUGCGGCAGUUUAGAGAGGAGGAUGUCAAAAAGAGCUGCCCUUCCCUUCCCUGUUUUCCAUUCCCAUGCUAACAUACACACACACACACAUACAUGCACACGCUGUCUUUGACACAGACGCACGGCCAACGUUGCGAAACCAGCUAAUUGAAGUGGACGUGAGAAAAGCAAAAGCUGUCGGAGCUAAUUGAGACAAAUGAAGCUGGCAGUGAUCAAGGGAUAAGCGGCCUGUUUCAAUGUCACUCUGACGAAGAAAGAGAGAGAGAGAGAGAGGAGAGCCGGACACGGAGCCAAAACGCAGAAACACAGUGUAUUACAUGUGACCCACACGACGCAUCUUAAUGUCACAGAGCCCAAAUUACAGGGAGAUCUCCUGCUGACGGCUCGCGGAGAAAUUGUAUUUUCAGGACACAGCAAACAUCAAUUUGAUUCCCUCUGAGUUGUCAUAGCAUCAACUAAGUCACAAAAUCAAUAUGUCUAAUAUACUUGUAGGUGGCCUACCUGCAAAAUGCUUUACACUUGGUUCAUUUGGGACUGAAGUGCAAAAUCAAUAACUGAGAAGCUACAAGAGCAGGAAUAUUUAAAAAGUGCGACAAAAUGCUUCAUGUGUAAAGUUGGAAACAUUUCAGUUUCCAACUUUACACUAAACAUUUCAUUUUGUACGUGUGAAUUUACUUACAUUUUUGCUAUAUUUGUCUAAAAAUGCUUUACAUCUAUGAAGCAAAAGCUUUGACAAGAGAAUAAAACAGAAUGAAAUGUGGUCUUGUUCUGGAAUGGCUGAACACAUCUGCACACUGCACAUGUACUCACUCGCUGUGAUUCACAAGUCUUUCUAAAUCCCUGAGUAGCUUUUACAAUUAUACUUACCAACCAUUACACAUAUGUCAUUAUAUAUUAAUCAGUUGGAAACUCUUUGCCGCUCAUUGUGCAAACUAGUGAGCACUGCAGCCUUAAUCUGCCUAAUUGCUGUGCAUUUAGAGUUGGGAUAUAAAGGAGGCUUUCGGAGGCGCAAUAACUAAUGCGUUUGACCCAACUGGUCAAUGGCCAUAAAUUAGCCUUCUGUCAGUACGCGACUCUAAUUAGGCAACAACACAAUCCCAAUACACUAUCGAUAGUUUUCAUCACAAGGCAGGGAUGGAGAGCCAGGGCUCCACGUUGACUCGGAGCGGUGUGUUCAAGGCUGCAUAGGCCACUUUUCCCAAGAGACACACAAAAAAUAUCAAAUUUGGCAGAUGUUAUCCAACAUAGCAAGGAGAAGAGAGAGGUUGAAUAAACACGUAGAUGAGAGCAGGGAUACUCCAAGAGGAGCGACGAGUAGAUAAAGGUGAGUCAUGGAGUACAAGAAAUGAAGACAACAAAAGAGUAGAGAUGUUUGAGUUACAUUUCAAACCCUCACUCCUCCCUGUCGUCUCUUGUCUUUCUGUCCGCCUCUCUGUCCCUUCAUUUGCACGAGCAGAUGUGGUAGCGUCUUCCAUCACAUUAGAUGGCGGGGAGGUGGGGUUUCUAGCUGUGUGCUGGUGUCAGAUGUUAACACUAUUCAUAGACAGCUUUAAAUAAAAUCAGAGCAGUUAUUCAAUCUGCGAAACGAGUUCAGUACGAACAAGGCAUGCAUGAAGGAAGGCAGCUUUCCACAGCUGUGUGUGUGUGUGUGUGUGUGUGUGUGCAUGUGUGUGUCUGCGCACAGCAUUAUGGACGGAUCUUUGUUUUCAUAAAGACGUGUGAGCGUGCAAACGUCAAAGGUGCUUCUGUGAACAUAUUGUUGUGGCAAGGCUGAAGUUUUUACUGUUUUUAUGCAAAGCGCGUUUGCCUGCUGCGAAUGUGUGCGCGUGCGCUCGUUUAUUAGCUCGCAGAGUCACCCACUCCUUUUUUAAAAAUAGCUUCCUCCUGGCUGAGGCUGUCAGCGGCAAUGAGAAAAUAAGGAAAUCCAUUCUGGUGGUAGCAGCCUUCGUGAUACAAUAAGGAUAGGGUGACUGAGGAAACACACACACACACACACACACACACACACACACACACUGUAAACGUCCGGGUUAGUUGACCUCCUCUAACAGAACUACUGAAUAAAAUAAAUUGUUAUUUAAUUAUCAUUUAGAUUGACUUGAUUGAUUUAGAUUCAUAUAUCACACAUGGUUAAUUUGACCCAUGAGUUCCCUUUGCUGGUUUGUAUUGGUUGAGUUAUGUGUAAGAGUGUGUGUGUGUGUGUGUGUGUGUGUGUGUGUGUGUGAACGUACAUCUCACUUCAUCUCUUCAGAGAUAUGUCAUCAUUGAGCAUUUCCUCUACCAGCAUCCCCUGGGAGACGAUGUUAAAGCCAACAGGCCUUCCUCUCAGGAUCCUUACUCUAAAUUGCAUCAUCAAUUUCUCUGUACAUUUUUCACAAAUACACACAAAUACACAGCAUUGCUUAAUCAGCAGCAGACAGUUCAUAGUUACAGCGCUCACAUUCAAUGUAACUCUCCCUUUAAAUCAACAUAUAUUGGCUUAUUAUUACCAGUACCAGCUAGUUUUUUUCAAGGUGCCCACUUUUCGCGUUCCAGAGACUCUUCCGUCUGUUUUGCUGUCCCCACUUUGACCUCUUCCUCUGCUCCUCCUUCUCAUUCCCUCCAUCCAUUUUUUUUUUCUCUUCAUACUACCGCAAACGUAUUGACUCCACAGCUCCAUCCUUGUCGGGCCACUCUUCAUCCAUCCCUUCUCCCCGCUCCUGCUCCGUCAUCCCCGCCUCUCAUCCGGAGCAGAAGCACCACCAGUCAAAUUGAUUUCGCCGCUGUGCUGAGGAGCCCCAUCAACUCCCAGAUUGGGUUUCCCACUUACCGUCCCCCCUCCGGCCCUCUGUAUUUCUUUUUUUUUUUUUUUUGCUCUCUUCACCUCACACGUUGCCCCUGUCCGCCACGGCAGAGGCGACGUCCUGAGAGAACAAGUGUGGCUGGUUGAUCCUGAUGAUACAGAGUCUCGUACGGUUCACUGUGAAACGGAAAGGGAUUGACUGAAUGUCUUUGCAGAGACACUUUUAGUCGUAUUCGGUUCACGGGGACUGUGUGUCCGUUCAUUUGUGUGUAGCGUGUGCUUCAAGUGUGUGCUUGUGUCUACAGCAACAUACAGUGUGUAUUUUUUAAAAGAACACGUUAUGUGACCCUGUUAUGAGUCCCUGUAAUAGUAAAUAGAGUACUGUGAAUUCUAAGUCUAUUAUGCACAUUGAUGAGCUAUAAAUUAUCGAUGCAUGGAACAAUAUGACGGUUGAGUUUAAGAAAAAAAUCAUACAUUUUCGAGUUUAUCAAAUAAAAUAUGUUCAUGGUGUGGUUAGUGCUACGCAUUAUUUGGAUGAUAUUUUUUGUGUUAGAGAAAGAUUGUUAAUAUAACCCAAUUACCUGCAGGUGAACGUCGUGAAGCGACGUAAAGGGUGUAAAUAAUAGAUUCAUGGCUUGAGAUUCGUGUUCAUUGCGUAGCUGUCUCAUUUAAAUGAGACGAAAGAAUUUGCCUGGUUUAACGUUUGGUGAUGAACAUAGGCUGCAAAUCCUAAACUUUGAGCAUGGUUCUUCAAAUCAGCAUUUCUACAUUUGAUCAAAUCAUCUUUAAUUCCUAAGAAUGAUAUCUGUGUGAAGCAAUUAUUUCCAAGGUAAAACCCCUCUGACACCAUUGUCUGUAAAUGCUGACCGUCAUUCUGCAACCAUCUUUCCAAAAUGAUCCAGGCUGCAUUACUGGAAGUAAACGAAUUUAGUGGAGGCUUGGCCGGCCCUUGUGUGUGUGUGUGUGUGUGUGUGUGCGUGUGCACCGCCUGGCUCUCUUUAAAUAGUGAGCUGAGCAGAUGUGCUUCGUAAACAGAUCACAGCCCAUGAUCUGGAUUGAUGAAUGGCUCUCCAGGAAAAUAAUCCUUCAGUAGAAGUGAACAGCUUGCUCUGAACUCAUCGCAUCGCUGCUCAGUUUUCCUCCAUAUGACUUGUUUUGUGUGCGUUUCACGCCGCGAUGCAGCACGCCAUUGGAGCGAGUCUCGCCCCGCCAUGGAGGAUUCAACGGGAGGUCGUUCAGAGUUUUGCUCCAUGUGUCACACUCCGGUUGAUACAGAAAUGUAAGGAAGGAGUGUGGAAGGAUGAAAUGGGCUCAGAGUCCAAAGCCCAAGUGUUGUUUGUUCACGUGUGUGUGUGUGUGUGUGUGUGUGUGUGAGAGAGUGUGAGGCAUAUGUGGGUGUUCUCCUGUUAUUGGAUUGCAUCCAGUCUCCUGCCACUAACCAAAUUUCUGCUUCAGUAAUUAUUGACUGCAGAAAGAACAGGAAAAUAAGUGCAGAAAAUAACAAGGCCAAGUUAGAUAAGAGGCCGUGAGCGGAGAAGUGAAUAUAGAAAAGUCAAAAAAUACACGUCUGACGUAAACCGGACCAACCGCCCAAAAAAGUAUAUUGAGAGAUUUAUUUUUUUUGAAGCACCUGCGUAGCAAUGACCUAAGCAGAUGACCUGAUCGAGUGUUAUUUCCCCUCAAGAUGUUUCCCAGUAACGCUCUGACCUUCAGAGACCCUUUUGUUUGGGCACAUACGCCCAUUUAAAAGGGUAAAAUGUUGUCAAUACCAACCAAUACAAGAUACUAGUUGAUUUAGUUGAUAUAAAAAUAAGUCUCUUAAUAUGUUCUCUCAUGUCAUGUAAUGUAAGUACACACACAUAAAGGACGGCUGGCGUUGAUGCUUAUGAAAAUGCACGUCAGGGGAAUUCGGGAGCCAGACGGAGUCUUUCAUAAGUGUUUUUUGUUUCUUUUUGUAUUAAGAGGCAAAAAAAAAUGAAAUCAAUCUGCUGAUCAGGGUUUCAGAUCAGUCAUUGCUGAUGUGUUUACACGUGGAAGUGGAAGUAAACAACUACCAAAACUCCAGAGAAUCGCUCUUUCUUGCUUCUUCAGACUUAAUGUCAAUCACGAUGAGUUUUUUUCGCUGUUUCCGACUUGUUCUUUUCUAGCUUUCACCUUGUUGUCCUUUUUCUUCCUUACCACCGUUCAAAUGGAGAUCAAGUGCCUUAUUCACUGUGAGUCACUUCCUCCCCGUGCUGCUCCCUCGGAAUUACAUGAGCAACAUGCUGUAGAGGCCCUAUUCAUAGACGAGCGCUAUGACAACAGCAGGUUUGCUCAUAACACUCAUAUUAUCUUAUUGUAAUUUCUGUUUCUCAGUCAGGCGAGUUGUGGAGUGCGUGCCGGUGUGUGUUUGUUUUAGUGUGGGAGGUAUUCCAGAAGUAUUCUCUGUACUGUGAUGCAUUUUCUGUGUUGAACCAAACUGCGUGAUUUGUUUGCCCAAAACAGCUGUUGCUGACAGGGAGGAGUGUCAUAAAUAAAUAACACAUCUCCUUAACCACAUUAAGCGGUGGUUAGGGAGAUGUGCAUCAGACUAAGCUCUCUAUCUCUGACUCACUUAUCCACGCUGGUCAUCGCAAUAAUCCUCCACAGUUAUGUCAUCCACCUGCGUCAAAUGAGUCAUGUUAAACUCACCUUUAACACCACAGUUAAUGCAUUGAACAGCAUUAUCCAACACACACAAAUGAGGGUUACAUAUGUAUUGGCAAUAAAGGCAAUAUUUACCGACCCUUUAUUAUAUUUGUCACUUGUUCGAUAGUGUACUUUAUUUUUUAAUAUUUAACUUUUUUAAUAUUUUUAAUUUUUAGCAUUUCAUUUUAUUUUAUUACUUGUGCACUGGUGUCUUGCUACACUGUUUACUGUCAGGCACCAACCGCCAAGACAAAUUCCUUGUAUGUUUGACAUAUUUUGGCAAUAAAUGUUUCCUGAUUCCUGAUCCUGAUUCCUGAUUCCUCAUUAAUUAACAUUGCUAUGUUUGACGGUAUUCCACACUGCUCUUGUUUUCAUGUUCCUUUUCAAAACUCUUCCAUUCUUUCCUUUCUUGUUUGCUCGCUUGUCUCGUCUCCUUCCACCUGCUGUCCCCCACUCAAUAAUCUCUUCUGAGUGCCAGUGACAUUUUACCAACUCAUUGUCCAUACAUGAAAGUAAGAGCAGACACAAAGCAGGAAGAAGAGACACAGGGACACAAAAACUAUGGCGUGUCUUUUAAACACAGCAAGUGACCUUUUACUGCGACAGCCGGCUCUUCUUAGAUCUGUGCCCUGAGAGAGGACCGAGACAGCGUUUGAUCUUUUUAAACACUCAGACGUCGCAGACAGUGGUGUAAUUAUAAGACAGCUGAGGCACAGCCAGGGGCCAUUGAUCAGGAACACAAAAUACAAAAAAAAAGAACACAAGUCCAAUGAGUCUUGCACUUUUGGAAAAAGAUGAAAGAACCAAAAAAAAAAGUUCAACUGACUACAGCUAUUUUUUUAAUUACAUAAGUUUGCACUGUAACAAAACCUGGAAAAUACAAGAAGUAAGAAAUAAUUAAGUCGAAUUUGUACAUUGCGGGAUGAUAUGCCCAGUCAAGGUUGAGGUCAUAACAAGGAUGUUAAGGCUCCAGUUAUAGAAGCUUCUGUUAUGUGAGUUGUAUAUCCUAAUGUCUGCAUGAAACUGGAAGAUGUUUGCAUCUAAUAUGGUCUAAUACAGGUUUUGCAUUGUCAAAAACUAAACUUUAAGUAAAAGGAUGUUACACGUACAUGGACACAAAAAGUGUGUGUUUCUUAUUCCUGCACCGAUAACCUCCGAGUUUUGACGCAGAUUCGACCAGAGAGACAGAAAGGAUGAAGUGCAGAUUUACGGCCCAAUUCAGCGACACACCUCUGCAGCACCCUGCAGCAUCUGCAGGGAAUUCAGAACCACGAGAACAGCAUCGACACUGGCUUUUAAUUCUCCACCAAGUGGACCCGAAACCAUUCUUGUGAGAGCAUUUUAAUUCGUACAUUUAUAUUCAUGCAUUCCACUUAUCUUUUCCUGUUAAAAAACAAUUAUACGACACGCCACUCCAUUUCUGGCCAAGAAAAAGACACUUACAACUCACCACUCUAUUAAUAAAUGGUUAACAAACAGAUGACUUUGGCAAUAUCACUUGCCAAUGUCAUAGCGAACCUUUCUUUUUGCAUUGUAAGCACCAACUGCAGCAUAGUUGUACAUGUACUAUCAUAUACUAAUGUAUGACAUGUUUGUUGGUGUGCAUAUUAUUAGUUUUAAUAAUACUUUUUCUUCAUUAACCCUACGGGGGCUGAUGGAAAAAACACAUGCAUUUACAUGCAAAAGAUACUCAAUGAGAGAAGAGAAACCAUAGUACUGUGUUCCCUUGUGGGAGGAAGAAUGCAUGAAUACCUUUUCCAGAUUCUUGAAAAAAAUCAAAAUUCAAACUUCAAAACUUCAAAAUGAAUGUGUACAGAUGCAAAGUUUAUGGUUUACAUUCUUGUAGUGUAUUUACUUUAUUUUGGAUGGGGAAGUUCUGGCAGCCAGUAUUUUACCAAAGAUGUACAGAGAAAUGUUUUUACACUGCGAAUUACGUUUCAUGCAUGAAACGUAAUUCAUUUUCUGAAACAUUUGAAGGGGCCAAUUUACAUAGUUGAUUAGAGGGAUGUGUGUUUCUUUUUGAAUAAAAUCACACAGCAGCUUAAUCCGCAGGAAAACAAGUAGCAAACUAAUCUCAAGAGAAAUUCUAUUUAUUUCAUAAUUUAAUUAUCCUCGCAGGGAAAGAAAACAGCACUCAGGCACAAUAUCAAGUAUUUUUUUUAAACAAUAUAAAAUGUUAUUCACUGGGUGGCCUUGUUGCCUAAAAGAGAACAGACUGUAAGACACCGAUAUCGGCAGUAAAAACAUGGCAGCAGGCAUUAGACUGCCCUCGUUAGGCAAAAAACUCAUUAUGGCAUGCCUCGCUCCCCUGCUGGAAGAAAGAGUGAGCAUUUCCCUCCAUUUGGAGAAAAAAAAAAAAGAAAAACAGUAGUUACCCUUUUCUAUCUGUAUCUCACAGAAAGGUCUGGUUGUCUGGGACCAGUGUGUGCAGGGAGAUAAAGCUGAGAGGGGUUAGUAAUAGAGCGCGGCUAUUUAAGAAGCUCUAAUGAUAUUCAUUCAUUUAGAUUCAUCUCAAGUUCCAUAAGGAAGGAGAGAGAGAGAGGGGGGGGGGGGGGCAUUGGUAUAUGGAGGUUUUAGUCGGGGGUCACAAAGUUAAGCCGGAGUCACGCAGCUCAGACA
ensembl:lncRNA